UACGUAGGGUGCGAGCGUUAAUCGGAAUUACUGGGCGUAAAGCGUGCGCAGGCGGUUUUGUAAGCCAGAUGUGAAAUCCCCGGGCUUAACCUGGGAAUGGCAUUUGGGACUGCAAGGCUUGAGUGCGGCAGAGGAGACUGGAAUUCCUGGUGUAGCAGUGAAAUGCGUAGAUAUCCGGAGGAACACCGGUGGCGAAGGCGGCUUCCUGGACCGAUACUGACGCUGAGGCGCGAAAGCUAGGGGAGCAAACGGG
rnacentral:rRNA from 1 species